rnacentral:rRNA from 1 species
UCGGGAAUUUUGGGCAAUGGGCGAAAGCCUGACCCAGCAACGCCGCGUGAAGGAUGAAGUAUUUCGGUAUGUAAACUUCGAAAGAAUAGGAAGAAUAAAUGACGGUACUAUUUGUAAGGUCCGGCUAACUACGUGCCAGCAGCCGCGGUAAUACGUAGGGACCAAGCGUUGUUCGGAUUUACUGGGCGUAAAGCGUACGUAGGCGGUGACUCAAGUCAGAGGUGAAAGCCUGGAGCUCAACUCCAGAACUGCCUUUGAAACUAGGUCGCUAGAAUCACGGAGAGGUGAGUGGAAUUCCGAGUGUAGAGGUGAAAUUCGUAGAUAUUCGGAAGAACACCAGUGGCGAAGGCGGCUCACUGGACGUGUAUUGACGCUGAGGUACGAAAGCGUGGGGAGCAAACAGGAUUAGAUACCCAAGUAGUCCCUGAGCGGGCUGGCAAGGCGCAU